CAAAGUGCUCACAGUGCAGAUAGUUUACACUCAUCUACUGCAGUCUGUGCACUUCA
ensembl:miRNA gmo-mir-20b gmo-mir-20b